CACGUAGGGGGCAAGCGUUGUCCGGAUUCAUUGGGCGUAAAGAGCUCGUAGGCGGUUCGAUAAGUCGGGUGUGAAACCUCCAGGCUCAACCUGGAGACGCCACCCGAUACUGUUGUGACUAGAGUCCAGUAGAGGAGCGUGGAAUUCCUGGUGUAGCGGUGAAAUGCGCAGAUAUCAGGAGGAACACCAGCAGCGAAGGCGGCGCUCUGGGCUGGCACUGACGCUGAGGAGCGAAAGCGUGGGGAGCGAACAGGAUUAGAUACCCUGGUAGUCCACGCCGUAAACGUUGGGUACUAGGUGUGGGGUCUUAUCAACGGAUUCCGUGCCGAAGCUAACGCAUUAAGUACCCCGCCUGGGGAGUACGGCCGCAAGGCUA
rnacentral:rRNA from 1 species